GAUAAACGCUGGCGGCGCACAUAAGACAUGCAAGUCGAACGAACUUAACUCAUUCUUUUAGAUUGAGAGCGGUUAGUGGCGGACUGGUGAGUAACACGUAAGCAACCUGCCUAUCAGAGGGGAAUAACAGUGAGAAAUCAUUGCUAAUACCGCAUAAGCUAGUAGUAUCACAUGAUACAGCUAGAAAAGGAGCAAUCCGCUGAUAGAUGGGCUUGCGUCUGAUUAGCUAGUUGGUGGGGUAACGGCCUACCAAGGCGACGAUCAGUAGCCGGACUGAGAGGUUGAACGGCCACAUUGGGACUGAGAUACGGCCCAG
rnacentral:rRNA from 1 species